GAUGUUUUUAGCUCAUCACACUGCAAAGAGAUGGAGGUACCUCUGAGAUUACAGGUCCUCAGAAAGACAGGAGAGAAAGCAAAAGGGAACUUUAGCAGAGCUGGAAAACUGAAGACACAGAGUGAGUCCUGUAAGACUCAGCCUCUGCAGCCUUGGGUGACAUUCUCCUAGACCCCCCGCAUCUGGUGCAUAACAGGGUGGGCAUGCCAGGAGUCUGCGCUCAAGAAGAGGCCUCCCCACAAGAAGAACGGCAACUUACAUCACACCUACCUCAGGGAUGGUGGCAGCUAGCAGGCUGUAAUCAUCUUACAAGACCAAUAGAAGCUGGAGGAGGAAAUUAGCCUUUUUUUAUGUAUGGGUGGAUGCUUCAGAGGCCUCUAUGGAUACCAUUCAGGUAUAGACCAUUUCGAACCUGUGAGUAGGCAGAUAGUAAUGACUGUUUCCAAGUUAUACCAGUUUGAAGGGACAAAAUGUUAAAUUGAAUGCCCAGAUUUUACUGUUUUAUUUUCAUAUAUAUUUAUUUAUUUUCCAUUUUGUUGACCUUGUUGUUUUUUUAUUGUUGUUGUAGUUAUUGUUGUUGUUAUUGAUGUCAUCAUUGUUGGAUAGGACAAAGAGAAAUAGAGAAAGGAGGGGAAGAAGGAGAGGGGGAGAGAAAGAUAGAGGUGAGUCUCAUGCGAAGUUGAGCAUGGAUGGCUGACCCCCCCGGAAGUCUGUCUGUCAGUCUCCCACUGGCAUGUCAGCUGUUGUGGUUGAGCGAGACAGGCCAGAGUACUCCUUGCCUUUCCCUGCACAGCUACCCCUUUAUAAACUUGUAACUGAAACAAUAAAGUGUUCUGUCCUCUG